rfam:Lactobacillus salivarius TCC118 plasmid pMP118, complete sequence.
GCCUUGUAUCCACGAUAUUUUGAGUUGGUCUUACGCUUUGAGAACGUAGCAAGGUAU